rnacentral:rRNA from 1 species
UGCCAGCCGCCGCGGUAAUACGGAGGAUGCAGGCGUUAUCCGGAUUUAUUAGGUUUAAAGGGUGUCUAGGCUGCCACAUAAGUCAGAGGUGAAAGUCGGUUGCUCAACAAUCGAAUUGCCUUUGAAACUGUGUGGCUCGAAUAUAGAUGAGGUAGGCGGAAUGUGUAGUGUAGCGGUGAAAUGCAUAGAUAUUACACAGAACGCCAAUUGCGAAGGCAGCUUACUAAGCUACGAUUGACGCUGAGGCACGAAAGCUGGGGGAGCAAACCGGAUUAGAUA